UAAAUAAAGCAGCAGAAAUACCUGUUGGGGAGAAAUAGGUAAACUGGAGGAAGUGAACAACUGGGCUGAUUCUGACCAUAGUGAAGACUCCAGGGCUACAAACUGAAUUUCAGCACUGAUGCAAAGCCUAAGGUUCUACCCUCCAUGGGACUGGUGUGUACUACCUGGCCUGGAGGAGUAGAUCCCGACACAUCUCCUAAAUCUCGCAGUGGGCAGAGCGGAGCCCAGACAUGCUAGCUCCUGACACUCUGCCCUCUGAGCCUUCCCUGCCCUCCCCACCUGGUUCCCUCAACUCUCCCAAUGAAAUCAAGAGAAGAAAACAAAUAGAAGAGGAAGAUCGUCAAGAAGUCACCCACACGCUAUCAGAACAAAUAAAAUGAAUGGCUGAAAUUCCCCAAACACGAGCAAAUGAAAAGAAAAAGCAUAGCAACUGUAAAACUAUCCUGCAGGGUGGAAAAGGCAACGGAUGAAGAAAAUGACCAGAAACCCAAAUGAGAGGAAACCUGACUCAAGCAAUGAAGGCAAUUCCUCCCAAUUCUGCACGCUCUACUGCUUAAUUAGAAAGUGAAUUAGGUGAAACAGGAACUCAAAGAAGAGAUAGUAAAAUUGAAAUGAGAUGAAAAGAGAGAUUUCAGAUAUAGGGAAACAAAUAGAGGGCAGAAUUAUUAUAGAGUUAAAAUAUAAACUAGAAAUAAGAAACAAAAUACUGUUAAAAAUUGAAUUAUGAUGUAGAGGAAAGGCUUAAGACAAUCACAGUGAAUAUAAAUGAUAAAGAAAUGGGUAUGAAAGAGAGGAAAAUGUGACUGAAUAUAAGGAUAAUUGGUGUCCCUUAAGUAGAGAGUCCAACACAUGGAACAAAAGAUGUAUUCAAAUGUAUAAUCAAGGGAAUUUCCAUGAAAUGAAGGACUGAAUAUACAAAUAAACGGAAUAGACUGUAUUCCAAGAAAAAUGUAAUACAGAAUGUUAAAUACUAAAGUGUACUCUAGGCUGGGCACGAUGGCUCAAGCCUGUAAUUCUGGUGCUUUGGAAGGCCAAGGUGGGCAGAUUGCUUGAGCCCAGGAAUUUGAGACCAGCCUGGGCAAUGUGGUGAAAUCCCAUCUCUACAAAAAAUACAAAAACUAGCCAGGCGUGGUGGUGCAAACUUGUGGACCCAGCUACUCCGGAGGCUGAUGUGGGAGGAUUGCUUGAGCCCAGAAAAUUGAGGUUGAGGUGAGCAAUGAUCAUGCCACUGCACUCCAGCCUGGGCAACAGAGUGAGACCCUGUCCCAAACAAGAAACAAAAAACAAAACAAGAAAAAAUGUACUCUAAUUAAAUUAGCGAACUUUAGUGAUAAAAAAUUUUUCAAGUAUCUUAAUAGAAAAAGUGAAUCUUGCCAGGGGUGCAAAACCCAGGGAGGAUUCAGCCUUCUUCACAGCAACAUUCAAGACCAGGAUACAGUGAAGACAAAGCGCAGCCAGGGGUUAGUGUCCAAGACUGCCAUUGCCAGCUACGUGACCUUGGGAAAGUCCCUCAGUGCCUCCAUUUCCCUGUUGACAGACAGGGCAUGACUGUGCCGAGCACAUGGAAUUGUUGUGACAGCAAAUGAAAUCAUCUCUGCGAUGUGUGGGAGGCUGAGCUGAGUGCUGGGCAAGUGCUCACCGCACAUUCCUGGUCAUUGUUGUUGUUAUCGUGGCAGGAGGAUUUCAUUGAGUUUGGAGCCCUUCCCAGGGUAACAAAGCAAGGAGUCAUUUAAGAUUAAUGUUGCUCUUUUAUGAUCUAGAUAGGCCCUUGGGCAGAGCAAGAAGAAACCAAAGCUGCUUCUCACCAGCCAUGUGGGCUCACUGGCUAGGAGAGCUGAUUGGGCUCCUUUUUAAACUUGGAAAAUAAUUCCUCUUUAAAUAUGGUUUUGGACAAUAAAAAUGAAACAUAUGUACCUGUAAAAAAUGA
rnacentral:lncRNA from 1 species